rnacentral:rRNA from 1 species
UCUGUCACUGACGNUGAGGCUCGAAAGCGUGGGUAGCGAACAGGAUUAGAUACCCUGGUAGUNCACGCCGUAAACGAUGAGUGCUAGGUGUUAGGCCCUUUCCGGGGCUUAGUGCCGGAGCUAACGCAAUAAGCACUCCGCCUGGGGAGUACGACCGCAAGGUUGAAACUCAAAGGAAUUGACGGGGGCCCGCACAAGCGGUGGAGCAUGUGGUUUAAUUCGAAGCAACGCGAAGAACCUUACCAGGUCUUGACAUCCCGAUGCUAUUCUUAGAGAUAGGAAGUUACUUCGGUACAUCGGAGACAGGUGGUGCAUGGUUGUCGUCAGCUCAUGUCGUGAGAUGUUGGGUNNNNNNNNNNNAACGAGCGCAACCCUUAUUGUUAGUUGCCAUCAUUAAGUUGGGCACUCUAGCGAGACUGCCGGUAAUAAACCGGAGGAAGGUGGGGAUGACGUCAAAUCAUCAUGCCCCUUAUGACCUGGGCUACACACGUGCUACAAUGGUCGGUACAACGAGUUGCGAGCCGGUGACGGCAAGCUAAUCUCUGAAAGCCGAUCUCAGUUCGGAUUGGAGGCUGCAACUCGCCUCCAUGAAGUCGGAAUCGCUAGUAAUCGCGGAUCAGCACGCCGCGGUGAAUACGUUCCCGGGCCU